rfam:Salmo salar isolate Sally breed double haploid chromosome ssa12, whole genome shotgun sequence.
CAGAAGAUAUGUUGUAAGUCGCUCUGGAUAAGAGCGUCUGCUAAAUGACGUAAA